GCUCUUGUUCUAGCCGAUCUUCAGGUACCUCGCUCUCCUCCUUCUACUUCUUAAUUGAAGUACCGCCUCCAUAGAACGUGUUCUGUUGGUCUGAAAUGCAGUGACUUUUAGGAUUCAUAAACAUUCUGCCUUGGUUUGUCACUCGUCCGCAACCUAUUAGGAUUUAGCCUCAAUUUAUACAAUAUUAGCUGGGAUAACGCCAAGCAAAAUUUCCAAUAAAGUACGGCUUUUGGCGUCUGAAAAUUGCUCAUUUUCAAAGUAUUGCAAGAGGGUAUAGAGUUGCUUUUCUGCUCGAGGUUGUAAACUUUUCAAAAUUGAGAUUUUUCUCCUAAAACUGGAUGAAAAACUUGUACUUAUAUUUGCCUUUAGGCAAAUUAAAUAAUUGGGUUAACACUAUCUUGCGGGUUUCCGGGCGCUGGAUACGCUAAUAACAGCCCAAAUAACAGGAGUUGAUUCCAACUGUCAAAUUGGACUUGUUUAGUGCAUGCUUGGCAAAUGAUAUGUGGGUUUUCCUAAUAAUUGCCCUUUCCUUGGUUCUCAUUCCUUUGGGUUGAUCUAGUUCACUUCUUUGUAGCUUUAGCUUCUACUUU
rnacentral:misc_RNA from 1 species